ensembl:lncRNA
AGUUAGGCUGGACAGCCAGGUCUAGGAAGAGUCUGAGCCUGAUCUGUGCCUUGCCACAAUUCUGUCUCUGAGCUCCUUGAGCAGUUCCUUCAACCUCAUGAUUCUCAUUUGCUCUAACAAGGUGUUUGCCUUUCUUAAUCAAGUCCUAUCAGUUUAAUUAAACACAGCAGGACUCCAAGGAGUAGAACCAUCUCAAGGAGGAUCAAAAGAAAUGCACAGCAUGUGAGUUAAAUAUGAAUGUCACAGCAGUUGGCCUGAAUACUUUUGACCAUGUGAUAUUUGUUUUUCUUUUUUAAUACAUUUUGUUUUUUUUCUUUCAAGAUGACACCAUCAGGAGAAUACGUCCCUUUCUCACUCAGAAGGCAGCACAGGCACUGAUUCAGGCUCUUGUCAUCUCCCACCUGGACCAUCGUAACUCCUGGCAGUUCUCCCCGCUAUCGCGAUUCGACCUCUGCAGCUCAUUCAGAAUGCAGCAGCUUGACUGGUCUUUAACCUUCCUUAAUUCUCCCACAAUACUCCACUCCUCCGCUCUCUUCACUGGCUACCGGUCCAGCUUACAUCUAGGACAUGGUCAAACCCCACAUCCCGACCCGCACUCUCCGCUCUGCAUCUGAUAAACUGCUUGUCCCUCCCUCACUGAGUGCAAAACACUUGACUAGAUCACGACUCUUUGCUGUCCUUGCUCCGAAAUGGUGGAACGAGCUCUCUGAAG